GGGGGAAACCCUGACGCAGCAACGCCGCGUGAGUGAUGAAGGCCUUCGGGUCGUAAAGCUCUUUUAGUGGGGAAGAAUCCCACCCGGGCUAAUACCUCGGGUGUCUGACGGUACCCACAGAAAAAGUUCCGGCUAACUACGUGCCAGCAGCCGCGGUAAUACGUAGGGAGCAAGCGUUGUUCGGAAUUAUUGGGCGUAAAGAGCGCGUAGGCGGUUCGGUAAGUCUGACGUGAAAUCCCGGAGCUCAACUCCGGAACUGCGUUGGAUACUGCCGAGCUUGAGUGUGGGAGAGGAGAGUGGAAUUCCCAGUGUAGAGGUGAAAUUCGUAAAUAUUGGGAGGAACACCCGUGGCGAAGGCGGCUCUCUGGACCACAACUGACGCUGAGGCGCGAAAGCUAGGGUAGCAAACGGGAUUAGAUACCCCGGUAGUCCUAGCCGUAAACGGUGGGCACUAGGUGUUGGAGGUAUCGACCCCUCCAGUGCCGCAGCUAACGCAUUAAGUGCCCCGCCUGGGGAGUAC
rnacentral:rRNA from 1 species